GACCAUGGCUCAGGAUGAACGCUAGCUACAGGCUUAACACAUGCAAGUCGAGGGGCAUCAGUUUGGUUUGCUUGCAAACCAAAGCUGGCGACCGGCGCACGGGUGAGUAACACGUAUCCAACCUGCCUCAUACUCGGGGAUAGCCUUUCGAAAGAAAGAUUAAUAUCCGAUAGCAUAUAUUUCCCGCAUGGGUUUUAUAUUAAAGAAAUUCGGUAUGAGAUGGGGAUGCGUUCCAUUAGUUUGUUGGG
rnacentral:rRNA from 1 species